rnacentral:rRNA from 1 species
UACGGGAGGCAGCAGUGGGGAAUAUUGCACAAUGGGCGAAAGCCUGAUGCAGCUAUGCCGCGUGUAUGAAGAAGGCCUUAGGGUUGUAAAGUACUUUCAUCGGGGAGGAAAAAACAAAACUAAUAAUUUUAUUUCUUGACGUUACCCGAAAAAGAAGCACCGGCUAACUCCGUGCCAGCAGCCGCGGUAAUACGGAGGGUGCUAGCGUUAAUCAGAAUUACUGGGCGUAAAGAGCACGUAGGUGGUUUUUUUAAGUCAGAUGUGAAAUCCCUGGGCUUAACCUAGGAACUGCAUUUUGAAACUGAAAUACUAGAGUAUCGUAGAGGGAGGUAGAAUUCUAGGUGUAGCGGUGAAAUGCGUAGAUAUCUGGAGGAAUACCUGUGGCGAAAGCGGCCUCCUAAACGAAUACUGACACUGAGGUGCGAAAGCGUGGGGAGCAAACCAGGGAUUAGAUACC